rfam:Sarcophilus harrisii ctg7180001538519, whole genome shotgun sequence.
AUUUGUCUAGUGCCCUUUUUAUGUUGUACUACUAGUGAUCCUGCACAAGAAGCAGUGCAAUGUUAAAAGGGCAUUGGCCAGUGAU